rnacentral:tRNA from 1 species
GUCGGGAUAGCUCAGUUGGUANAGCAGA